rnacentral:rRNA from 1 species
UACGAAGGGGGCUAGCGUUGUUCGGGCUCACUGGGCGUAAAGCGCACGCAGGCGGAUCGAUAAGUCGGGGGUGAAAGCCCGGGGCUCAACCUCGGAAUUGCCUUCGAUACUGUCAGGCUCGAGUCCGGGAGAGGUGAGUGGAAUUCCUGGUGUAGAGGUGAAAUUCGUAGAUAUUGGGAAGAACACCGGUGGCGAAGGCGGCUUCCUGGAUCGAUACUGACGCUGAGACGCGAAAGCGUGGGGAGCAAACAGG